rnacentral:rRNA from 1 species
CCUACGGGAGGCAGCAGUAAGGAAUCUUCCGCAAUGGGCGAAAGCCUGACGGAGCAACGCCGCGUGGGCGAUGAAGGCCUUCGGGUCGUAAAGCCCUUUUCUGUGGGACGAUAAUGACGGUACCACAGGAAUAAGCCACGGCUAACUACGUGCCAGCAGCCGCGGUAAUACGUAGGUGGCUAGCGUUAUCCGGAUUCACUGGGCGUAAAGGGUGCUCAGGCGGGUCUGUAAGUCAGGGGUGAAAUCCCAGAGCUUAACUCUGGAACUGCCUUUGAUACUGCAGAUCUCGAGUUUGGGAGAGGCGAGUGAAAUAUCUGGUGUAGCAGUGAAAUGCGUAGAUAUCGGAUAGAACACCAAGGGCGAAGGCAGCUCGCUGGCCCAAUACUGACGCUAAAGCACGAAAGCGUGGGGAGCAAACAGGAUUAGAUCCCCUUGUAGU